rnacentral:rRNA from 1 species
CCUACGGGUGGCAGCAGUGAGGAAUAUUGGUCAAUGGCCGGAAGGCUGAACCAGCCAUGCCGCGUGAAGGUCAGUGCCCUAUGGUCGUUAAACUUCUUUUGUGCGGGAGCAAUAAUGGUCAAGCGUGGCCAGACGACAGUACCGUACGAAUAAGCAUCGGCUAACUCAGUGCCAGCAGCCGCGGUAAUACGGGGGGUGCAAGCGUUAUCCGGAUUUUUUGGGUUUAAACGGGGCGUGAGCAGUGAGGUAAGUCAGCGCCGGAAUGCCCCGGUGCAACGGGGUGAAGUGCCUUUGAUAAUGCGUGGCUGGAAGGCGGAUGCGGUGAGAGGAAUGUGUGGUGUAGCGGUGAAAUGCGUAGAUAUCA